UCUCAUUUCUCAUUCCCCUCAGCCAGGAGAACCACAAAGAUAUUGUCAUCUGUGUAGAAGCCAGUUUCGAUAUCUGGUGUCUACCCCUUGCCCUGCUGGCAGGGCAUUGAGCGGCACCCGUUGCCGGCCACCUGGGUGUGGAGAUUGAAGAGGGUGAAGAGAGGAGCAACCCUGAGCAUCUGCCAUCCUGCUCCAUCUGAUCUAGAAUAAGAUGGAGCGAAUCAGGCAGAUGCUCAGGAGGAAGGCCGGGCAGGUGGCUCCACAGCCAGAA